UCAAGCUAGAAAGAGCGCAAGGGGAAUGCCUUGGCAUCAGGAGCCGAUGAAGGACGCGACAAGCUGCGAUAAGCUUCGGGUAGCUGCAAAUAAGCAAUGAUCCGGAGAUUUCCGAAUGGGGCAACCCGGCACGGCAAUACCGUGUCAGCGUGCACUGAAUCAAAUAGGUGUACGUGGGGAACCGCCUGAACUGAAACAUCUAAGUAGGGCGAGGAAAAGACAUCAACCGAGAUUCCGCAAGUAGUGGCGAGCGAACGCGGAGUAGGCCAAACCAGAGGUCAUUGAUCUCUGGGGUAAGGACUUGCAUCACGAUCAGAGGUAUCUAGUCGAAUGGCGUGGGAAAGCCAACCACAGAGGGUGAGAGUCCCGUAGACGAAAGAGAAGACUGACAGCGAGUAUCCAGAGUACCGCCGGACACGUGAAACCCGGUGGGAACAUGGGAGGACCACCUUCCAAGCCUAAAUACUACCUGAUGACCGAUAGAGAAGCAGUACCGUGAGGGAAAGGUGAAAAGAACCCCGGGAGGGGAGUGAAAUAGUACCUGAAACCUUGUGCUUACAAGCAGUCAGAGCACGUUAAAGUGUGAUGGCGUACCUUUUGUAGAAUGGUCCGGCGAGUUAUAGUCACUGGCGAGGUUAAGCAAUUCAGUUGUGGAGCCGAAGGGAAACCGAGUCUUAAUAGGGCGUCGAGUCAGUGGCCAUAGACCUGAAACCGGGUGACCUAUCCAUGAGCAGGUUGAAGUUGGUGUAAAAGCCAAUGGAGGACCGAACCCACGUUCGUUGCAAUGACCGGGGAUGACUUGUGGAUAGCGGAGAAAUUCCAAUCGAACUCGGAGAUAGCUGGUUCUCCCCGAAAUAGCUUUAGGGCUAGCCUCAUAUUAGAUACCCGGAGGUAAAGCACUGAAUGGCCUAGCGCCCGAGAGGGUAGCGAAGCCUAUCAAACUAAGAAUGCCGGAGUAUUGAUGUAUGGGAGUCAGACAGUGUGAGAUAAAUCUCAUUGUCAAAAGGGAAACAGCCCAGAUCUACAGCUAAGGUCCCAAAUUGUAUCUAAGUGGAAAACGAUGUGGAAAUACGCAGACAACCAGGAUGUUGGCUCAGAAGCAGCCACUCAUUUAAAGAGUGCGUAAUAGCUCACUGGUCGAGCGUCUCUGCGCGGAAAAUUUAACGGGGCUAAGAUACAAACCGAAGCUUAGGCUGCACUUUUAGUGCGGGGUAGGGGAGCGUUGUGUAAGCGGAGAAACAGUAGCGUAAGCGGCUGUGGAGUUUACAGAAGUGAGAAUGCCGGAAUGAGUAGCGCGAAUGUGGUGAGAAUCCACAUGGCCGGAAACCUCAGGUUUUUGGAGGAAGGUUCGUCCGCUCCAAGUUAGGCGGGAGCUAAGGUCAGGCCGAAAGGCGUAGCCGAUGCACAGACGGUAGAGAUUCCGUCCCCACCGAAAGAUUUAAGCACAGGGACACUUUUUGAAGGUCGGAGCCAGGUGUUGGUUCUGGUAGUGAUCGAGGGAAAUAUAGUACCGAAGUCCGGCUGGAUAAGAGGCGAGAAAAGCUGUGUGUAUAUCUAAGGUGCCCGUACCGCAAACCGACACAGGUAGGUAGGAAGAAGAUUCUAAGGCCAACGGGAGAAGGGUUGUUAAGGAACUCGGCAAAUUGACCCCGUAACUUCGGGAGAAGGGGUGCUCCAGAGAUGGAGCCGCAGAGAAUCGGCCCAAGCAACUGUUUACCAAAAACACAGGUUUGUGCUAAAUCGAAAGAUGACGUAUACGAGCUGACGCCUGCCCGGUGCUGGAAGGUUAAGAGGAGAUGUGCAAGCAUUGAAUCGAAGCCCCAGUGAACGGCGGCCGUAACUAUAACGGUCCUAAGGUAGCGAAAUUCCUUGUCAGGUAAG
rnacentral:rRNA from 1 species